UGCAAGAGUUGCUGCUGAACAAAUGCUGGGAGCAGAUAGGAAGGGAAGCUCUCCCAUCCAGCACUCAAUCAAGGACCCAGGAGCCAAGUUGAGGACCCUCAGGAGUGAGGACAGAGGUGGGGGGCAUCCUCCCACAAGGUCAGGAGAAUCCAGCUCCACUCCUGAUGACAGCCCUGGGAGACCCCGGACAGAUCUCUCAGGCUGUGAGCCCCCCUAAUUUCUGCCUUGGAGGGUACUCAGAGAAGUGAGAGCCUUGGCUGGAAGCGGCAGGUUCAGGUCACAAGAGGAAGGAGUCUCAGGACUUGCCAGGAGACAAGGAAUCAAGACCAGGACCCUGAGGAAGGACUGAAAGGACCUUCACAUUCAGAACAGAGAAACCUGCCCUUGCCGUCAGCCCUGGGAAGCCUGGACAGUCUGGCCUGAUAUAGUAGAACAUCAUUUCUGGCUUGGGAACCUGAAGGUGGUUGGCUUGGUCUGAAGCUUGCAUCCUUAAGUGAGCAGAGGGACGAGUCCAACUCCUGUCAGAUGUGAAGGAGCUCCAGGAACCAGAAGUGAAGGCCCAGGCGUGUGGCCUGCGUCCUCAAGUCACAGAGUAGGAGGCCCAGGCCGUGCAAAGGCAAAGGUGAGCAGAGGAGGGAGCCCUGAGGGGACCACCCACCCGGCAAGAGUCCUGUCCACCCCUCCUACCAGCACUGGGGGCCCCAGGCUGUGCCACGGUCUACACCCACAGUGGCCCCUCAAUUUCUCUUACAGGGUCUCCAGGAACCAGAGGCGAAGGCCCAGGUGUGAGACCCACGUCCUUGUGUCACAGAGCAGGAGGCCCAGGUGUCCAGGUGAGGUGUGUGCCCCGAGUGUGUACCUAAGGGCUCCCCAUCCCAGAACAGAGGGGACCCCACAAGGCCAAGUCACCCCACCCUCAGGGAGCCCCAGAACCA
rnacentral:lncRNA from 9 species